GCAUUGGUGGUGUAGCGGUAACAUUGGGUCUUCCCACAGUCAAGUAGCAACUGCAAAGUGGCCUAGCUCCGGGUUCGACUCCCGGCCAAUGCA